UACAGAGGUCUCAAGCGUUGUUCGGAUUCAUUGGGCGUAAAGGGUGCGUAGGCGGCGCGGUAAGUCGGGGUGUGAAAUCUUGGAGCUUAACUCCGAAACUGCAUUCGAUACUGCCGUGCUUGAGGACUGGAGAGGAGACUGGAAUUUGCGGUGUAGCGGUGAAAUACGUAGAUAUCGUAAGGAAGACCAGUGGCGAAGGCGGGUCUCUGGACAGUUC
rnacentral:rRNA from 1 species